AUUGCACGCUGGCGGCAGGCCUAACACAUGCAAGUCGAGCGGAGCGGCGGACGGGUGAGUACUGCCUAGGAAUCUGCCUGGUAGUGGGGGAGAACGUCCGGAAACGGGCACUAAUACCGCAUACUAUCAGAUGAGCCUAGGUCGGAUUAGCUAGUUGGUUGGGUAAAGGCCUACCAAGGCGACGAUCCUGAACUGGUCUGAGAGGAUGAUCAGCCACACGGGAACUGAGACACGGUCCAGACUCCUACGUGAGGCAGCAGUGGGGAAUAUUGGACAAUGGGCGAAAGCCUGAUCCAGCCAUGCCGCGUGUGUGAAGAAGGUCUUCGGAUUGUAAAGCACUUUAAGUUGGGAGGCGUUACCAACAGAAUAAGCACCGGCUAACUGCGUGCCAGCAGCCGCGGUAAUAC
rnacentral:rRNA from 1 species